rnacentral:rRNA from 1 species
AUUGAACGCUGGCGGCAGGCCUAACACAUGCAAGUCGAACGAGUGGCGGACGGGUGAGUAAUGUCUGGGAAACUGCCUGAUGGAGGGGGAUAACUACUGGAAACGGUAGCUAAUACCGCAUACCAUCGGAUGUGCCCAGAUGGGAUUAGCUAGUAGGUGGGGUAAAGCAUGACCUAGGCUACGAUCCCUAGCUGGUCUGAGAGGAUGACCAGCGACAGUGGUCCUGAGACCCGGUCAAGACUCCUACAGGAGGCAUCAUUGGGGGAAAUUGCACCAUGGGCGCAAGCGUGAUGCAGCCCUGCCGCGUGUAUGAAUAAGGCCUUCGGGUUGUAAAGUACUUUCAGCGGUGAGGCGUUACCCGCAGAAGAAGCACCGGCUAACUCCGUGCCAGCCGCCGCGGCAAUAC